rnacentral:lncRNA from 1 species
UGUUUUAUAUAAUAUGUAUUUCUUUAGUUUUUAAAAAAUUAUUUGGAGUUUCAGGGUUUUAGAGUUUAAGUUGGAGAAAGAGCAAGAAGUAGUAGAGAAAGAUAUGAUGUUAGAUGAUAUGUAACUUUGGGGUUUAGGGAUUUCAUUCUCGGUGUUUAGGGUUAAGCGUUGAAAAAUCGUCGUAAAUGGUUAAAUCUAUUCCACGUAAUUUCGACCUAAAUGAAAAAACGCGGGCCUGGUUACUUCGUCGUAAAUGGAAAAAUGCGGGCCUGGUAACUUCGUCGUAAACGGACGUUUUGAUGUAAUUUUUUCGUAAACCGAAAAACGCGGACCUGGUAACUUCGUCGUAAAUGGAAAAACGCGGGCCUGGUAACUUCGUCGUAAUAUUACGUCGCGUUUAUGACGAAACGUUUUCUAUAUAUUGAGACGCCGAGAACGGGGCUGCCUCGUUCAUUCCUCCCAAACUAUUCCUCCCAAACUCCUCUGCUCUCCCUCUAAGGUACACUCUCUUUCCUUUUUUUUUUAAGUUAGUUUAGGUGAUUAAUUAGUUAGGUAAUUAGUUUAGGUGAUUAGUUAGGUAAUUAGUUUAGGUGAUUAGUUAGAUGACGGAAUACUAUAGUUUAGGUGAUUAGUUAGGUAGCAUAAUAAUUUUUUAAUUAUGUUGUCAUAAUUGAUUAAAUUUAUUUUAAUUUUUUUUAGAUGGCUCCUAGAAGGAAACCAGCAGCACCUACUUAUUCCCAGUUGUUUGGCGAUGGUUCCGGUACAUCUUCUUCUGGUUCAUCGUCUUCCGAUGCAGUUCCAGACUCUCAGACUUCUCAGAGAAUUUUUUCGAGUCAUCCUCUUCCACCGCAGAUGCCUCCACCUCCUCCUCCAGCGGCUGCACCUCAGCCUGUCCCAGAAGGUGCAGUUCAUCCGGAUUUGUGUGUGCCUUCAUAUGCUCCAUUCGCGAGAUAUACGGUGGAGGAUUUGCUUGGCCAGCCUGGACGGGAGGGUUUGGAUGUUCUAGACCCCGAGGAACUUAUUGGUAAGUUAUUACUUUUUAUUACAUUAAAAUUAAAAUUAAAAUUAUUUUCUAACUGUUAAAUUGUUUUUUUUCAGGUUUGGGGCUAACGACCGUGUUAGCCGGAGCGUUUCGGCGACGAUUAAGGGUUACUACGACGGGGCAUAUGCGAACUGGAGCAAGACACCAAAUCACGUUAAGAUCACGUGGUUUAAAUGUUUUGCGGUAAGAUUUUUAAAUUUAAUUAAAUUUUCACUUUUAAAUAUAUAUAUAUAUAUAUAUUUUUUUUUUUAAUAUUUAUUAUUAAUUUUAAUUUUUUCAAAAUUUUUGUGUUUCAGCAAAAGUGGCAUUGGUCUUUGGGAAUCACCGAGAGGGUGAAGGCGGAAUUCGUUGCAAAGACAAAGAUCCGCCUCUGCAACACAGUCUCCGAUUGGAAGGACAGGUGGGAGAUCUACGGGUAUGAGAGAAAGCCCACUGAGCUCAUGACGGAUGUGUGGGAUGGCCUCAUCGCCUAUUGGGAGCACCCCUCUUCGAUCAAAAAGGACAAUUUGUGCUCGGCUUCUCGAAGGACGAAGGAUAAAGAUGGUCAUUUGCCCAUGCUUCACAGAACCGGACAAAAACCUCAUGCAGGAGUCCGUCUAGAAGCUGUAAGUUUUGUUUUAAAUAUAUAUUUUAAAAUAUUCAAUCAAUAUAAUUUUUAAUAUUUAAUUUAAUUUUUUUUUUGUAGUUUGAGAAGACGGGAGUCUUACCAUCUCUGUCUGACCUAUUCAAGAUGACUCACGCCACAUCCGACGGAGUUUUUGUGGAUCCUGCAUCUGAGAAACUCUUCUAAGCAGUGGCUGGUCAGAUUGAAGAACGGGAGACGCAACUAACCCAGGAGUCUCCCGAUGGAUUACCAGUCACAUUGUCCACCGAAGAGGCCGACAGAAUCUUUGAAGAGGUACAACUUAAAAUUUUUGUUUACAUUAUUUUAAAUAUUUUAACAUAAUUAACUAUAUUAAUAUAUGUUUUGAUUUCAUAGGUGUCUCCUAAAAAUAAGGGACGGAUAGUCGGUAUAGGCUCUGUUAACGAAAUUGCAAGGGAAACUUCGUCAUACACUUCAAGAUGGGAUGAAGACAUUGCUCAGAUGAAGGCUCGAAUGGAUAGCCAGUAGGUUCGUUUAGACUCUCUUGAGGAUUUGCUAGACGUGAUGGUCGUGGAAAACCCGGUUAUGCAGAGAAUGUUGAGUGAGAGACGAGCCGCUCUUGGGUUGCCAGUACGAGAUCCCCAAGAGUCCGAUCCAACCCGUCAACAGCCGAGCAACCCCACCAACUACUUCGAGGAAAUGUAGUUUUUUUAUAUUUCUGUUUGUAUUAUGAAUUUAAAUAUUAUUGUAUGACUUUUAAAUGCCUUUUUAAAAUAUGUUUUUCAAUUUCAUAUUUCGUUUUAAAAUUUAAAUUAUUUUAAAUUCUGAAUAUUAAAUAUAAA